rnacentral:lncRNA from 1 species
UCAGGAAGGGCUGAUGAAGUUUAAAAUUAACAAGCAUCCACCUGUAUCUGAAAAUGACACAAAUAAGUAUUUACUCCAUGUGGUCCUUUCUCAAAAAUGUGGAACAGAUAAGUUUUGUAAAUGUCUUGCAAUGUGACUGGAUUUAUUUUAUUCCUAAAACACCUCUGUCAUUUUGGACUGUGUUACCUUUAGCAGUAGUCCAUCUAUUUCCCCUUAACAACUAAGCCUAUUAUUAUAGGAGUACUUAAGUGAAGAGAUCUGGUUUUUGUAUUUUUUUAAAAAUCUGUGAGUUUUAGACUGGUCAGGGGACAAGCAGCCCACAGGAAAAUGUGGAAAAUUGUGGUGAAUGUGAAAUCUCUAAAAAGCAAAGCUGCAU